UGUCUAAGAGUUUUUAUUGAA
rnacentral:piRNA from 1 species